rnacentral:tRNA from 1 species
GGAGAGGUGACUGAGCGGUUGAAAGUACUCGCCUCGAAAGCGAGCGUACGGGAAACCGUACCGUGGGUUCGAAUCCCACCCUCUCCG